GCGACCUCAGCUCAGGCGGGCCACC
rnacentral:rRNA from 1 species